rnacentral:rRNA from 1 species
GCGCAACCCCUGCUAUCUGUUGCCAGCAAGUAAUGUUGGGGACUCAGAUGGAACUGCCGGUGACAAACCGGAGGAAGGUGGGGACGACGUCAAGUCAUCAUGGCCCUUAUGUCCUGGGCUACACACGUGCUACAAUGGCCGGUACAGAGCGCAGCGAAGCCGCGAGGCAAAGCGAAUCGCUAAAAGCCGGUCUCAGUACGGAUUGGAGUCUGAAACCCGACUCCAUGAAGUUGGAAUCGCUAGUAAUCGCGCAUCAGCAUGGCGCGGUGAAUACGUUCCCGGGCCUU